GACGAACGCUGGCGGCGUGCUUAACACAUGCAAGUCGAACGGAAAGGCCCUGCUUUUGUGGGGUGCUCGAGUGGCGAACGUGUGAGUAACCUGUGAGUAACCUUCCCUUGACUUUGGGAUAACUUCAGGAAACUGGGGCUAAUACCGGAUAGGAGCUCCUGCUGCAUGGUGGGGGUUGGAAAGUUUCGGCGGUUGGGGAUGGACUCGCGGCUUAUCAGCUUGUUGGUGGGGUAGUGGCUUACCAAGGCUUUGACGGGUAGCCGGCCUGAGAGGGUGACCGGCCACAUUGGGACUGAGAUACGGACCAGACUCCUACGGGAGGCAGCAGUGGGGAAUAUUGCACAAUGGGCGGAAGCCUGAUGCAGCAACGCCGCGUGCGGGAUGACGGCCUUCGGGUUGUAAACCGCUUUCGCCUGUGACGAAGCGUGAGUGACGGUAAUGGGUAAAGAAGCACCGGCUAACUACGUG
rnacentral:rRNA from 1 species